rnacentral:rRNA from 1 species
AAGACCUUGCACUUUUGGAGCGGCCGAUGUCUGAUUAGCUAGUUGGUGGGGUAAAGGCCUACCAAGGCUUCGAUCAGUAGCUGGUCUGAGAGGACGGCCAGCCACACUGGGACUGAGACACGGCCCAGACUCCUACGGGAGGCAGCAGUGGGGAAUUUUGGACAAUGGGCGCAAGCCUGAUCCAGCCAUGCCGCGUGAGUGAAGAAGGCCUUCGGGUUGUAAAGCUCUUUCAGCCGGGAAGAAAAAACUGCGACUAAUAAUCGCAGUUCAUGACGGUACCGGAAGAAGAAGCACCGGCUAACUACGUGCCAGCAGCCGCGGUAAUACGUAGGGUGCGAGCGUUAAUCGGAAUUACUGGGCGUAAAGCGUGCGCAGGCGGUUUUGUAAGUCAGAUGUGAAAUCCCCGAGCUCAACUUGGGAACU